rnacentral:rRNA from 1 species
UACGUAGGGCGCAAGCGUUGUCCGGAAUUAUUGGGCGUAAAGGGCUCGUAGGCGGUCUGUCGCGUCGGGCGUGAAAACUCAGGGCUUAACCCUGAGCCUGCUUCCGAUACGGGCAGACUAGAGGUAUGCAGGGGAGAACGGAAUUCCUGGUGUAGCGGUGGAAUGCGCAGAUAUCAGGAGGAACACCGGUGGCGAAGGCGGGUCUCUGGGCAUUACCUGACGCUGAGGAGCGAAAGUGUGGGGAGCGAACAGG